rnacentral:rRNA from 1 species
CAGAGACUGCAAGCGUUAUUCGGAUUCGCUGGGCGUAAAGGGUGCGCAGGCGGCCAAGUGUGUGAGGCGUGAAAGCCUGGAGCUUAACUCCAGAAUUGCACCUCAAACUACAUGGCUAGAGCAUUGGAGAGGGUAGCGGAAUUCACGGUGUAGCAGUGAAAUGCGUAGAUAUCGUGAGGAACACCAGAGGCGAAGGCGGCUACCUGGACAAUUGCUGACGCUCAGGCACGAAAGCGUGGGGAGCAAAAGGGAUUAGAUACCCCUGUAGUCCACGCCCUAAACGGUGCACACUAGGUCUUGGCGGAUUCGACCCCACCAGGGCCCAAGCUAACGCGUUAAGUGUGCCGCCUGAGGACUACGGCCGCAAGGCUA